rnacentral:rRNA from 1 species
AUUGAACGCUGGCGGCAGGCUUAACACAUGCAAGUCGAGCGAGCGGCGGACGGGUGAGUAAUGUCUGGGAAACUGCCUGAUGGAGGGGGCUAACUACUGGAAACGGUAGCUCAUACCGCAUACCAUCAGAUGUGCCCAGACGGGAUUAGCUAGUAGGUGGGGUAAUGGCUCACCUAGGCGACGAUCCCUAGCUGGUCUGAGAGGAGGACCAGAGACACGGGAACUGAGCCAGGGACCAGACUCCUACGGGAGGCAGCAGUGGGGAAUAUGGCACAAUGGGCGCAAGCCUGAUGCAGCGAUGCCGCGUGUGAGAAGAAGGCCUUCGGGUUGUAAAGAACGUUCAGCGAGGAGGCGUUACUCGCAGAAGAAGCACCGGCUAACUCCGUGCCAGUAGCCGCGGUAAUAC